rfam:Clostridiales bacterium 41_21_two_genomes Ley3_66761_scaffold_96, whole genome shotgun sequence.
GUGGGAUUGGCCUAGUUGGUUAGGGCGCCAGUUUGUGGCACUGGAGGUCAUCAGUUCGACUCUGAUAUCCCACC